CCCAGACUCCUACGGGAGGCAGCAGUGGGGAAUAUUGCACAAUGGGGGAAACCCUGAUGCAGCGACGCCGCGUGAGUGAAGAAGUAUUUCGGUAUGUAAAGCUCUAUCAGCAGGGAAGAAAAUGACGGUACCUGACUAAGAAGCUCCGGCUAAAUACGUGCCAGCAGCCGCGGUAAUACGUAUGGAGCAAGCGUUAUCCGGAUUUACUGGGUGUAAAGGGAGCGUAGGCGGCCCUGUAAGUCUGAUGUGAAAAUUUGGGGCUCAACCCCAAACGUGCAUUGGAAACUGCAGGGCUUGAGUGCCGGAGAGGCAGGCGGAAUUCCUAGUGUAGCGGUGAAAUGCGUAGAUAUUAGGAGGAACACCAGUGGCGAAGGCGGCCUGCUGGACGGUAACUGACGCUGAGGCUCGAAAGCGUGGGGAGCGAACAGGAUUAGAUACCCGGGUA
rnacentral:rRNA from 1 species